rnacentral:pre_miRNA from 1 species
AAAGUACUCCCUCCGUCCCAAAAUUCUUGUCUUAGAUUUGUCUAGAUACGGAUGUAUCAAGUCACAUUUUAGUAUUAGAUACAUCCGUAUCUAGACAAAUGUAAGACAAGAAAUUUGGGACAGAGGGAGUAGUUG